GGGCAUGAGGAUCCUCCAGGGGAAAAGCUCACUACCACUGGGCAACAACCCUAGGUCAGGAGGUUCUGUCAAGAUACUUUCCUGGUCCCAGAUAGGAAGAUAAAGUCUCAAAAACAACCACCACACGUCAAGGAGAACAUGGACAACUGUCACAUCAGUGACAUUGAUCACAUGGGCAAAUCAUUCUGUUCCAUGUGGUCCCCAAAGUCUCUCUUAAAGCCUUACAGAAGAACUUUGCCAAUCAUUUACAUACUUCAGGAUGGCUUGGGAUGCCAUGGUGUAUAAUACAACAAGUGAGAGCUCUUCAUUGUUCCUAUCUGCCAAAUCAUUAUACUUCCUACAAGCAGUGCAGAGAGCUGAGUCUUCAGCAGGUCCAAGAAAUUUGAACACACUGAAGGAAGUCAGCCUUCCCACCUGAAGAUCAACAUGCCUGGCACUCUAGCACUUGAGGAUAGCUGAAUGAAUGUGUAUUUCUUUGUCUCUUUCUUUCUUGUCUUUGCUCUUUGUUCUCUAUCUAAAGUGUGUCUUACCCAUUUCCAUGUUUCUCUUGCUAAUUUCUUUCGUGUGUGCCUUUGCCUCAUUUUCUCUUUUUGUUCACAAGAGUGGUCUGUGUCUUGUCUUAGACAUAUCUCUCAUUUUUCAUUUUGUUGCUAUUUCUCUUUGCUCUCCUAGAUGUGGCUCUUCUUUCACGCUUUAUUUCAUGUCUCCUUUUUGGGUCACAUGCUGUGUGCUUUUUGUCCUUUUCUUGUUCUGUCUACCUCUCCUUUCUCUGCCUACCUCUCUUUUCUCUUUGUGAACUGUGA
rnacentral:lncRNA from 1 species